UCGCCCGGCUCUCUUCCCCAGUGCGCAUGCGCGGCCCCGCAGGCCAGCUUGGGGGAGCGCGCAUGCGCGGGGGGAGGCGGAGGGUGCGCUGUGGCCUGCGCAUGCGCCGGAGGCAAGGGCCUCCGCAGGGCGUCGUGCCGCGGGGCGGCGGUCGCACGUGGUGCUUUUGAAGUUACUGUGCAAACGGUGCUCCCUUCCGAUCACUGAACAAGCUUCAUUAAGCAAACUUCACUUCAGAAUGUCUGCUGUUCUACAUGCCUGGUUGUGUUCAUGAGAUGUGCAGUUAUCUGUUUCACCGCCAUCAGUGACAAGGACUCUCCUUUUCUCUCUUUCAAGUGCUCUGUGAACAUCACCUUCCAGCCUGUUGAAAAAUCCUCCAUCAUGCAAUGAAGACUGGGAAGAGUUCAGGUCCUGUCAAAAAGUAAAUUCUGUAACAUAUCUUCCUUUACAUGUAAGGCAAAUAGGUGAGUGCAGACAAGUCCAGCUCCUGCUGCACAGAAUGUCAAAGGAUUUAAUUGAGAAGACCAGUACCAGCAACAGUUCAAUGGAGCCAAAAUAAAGAGAUUUACCUAGAGAAUAUAUAUGCUGUAGUCAAAUCAGACAGUGGAUAAUGUAAAUGUAUGAACAGUGAAUAACCUAAGUUACUGUUUACAGCAAAGUUAACCAAAAUGAAGUUGUUCUGAAACUCUGUUCCUUUGAGGUCUAGUGUCUUAAGGAAUCACUACAACCCCCUGUGUAAUGUGCUGCCAAAUGCAAACCUUAUUCUUAAUCAUAGCUCUCUCAUUUUCAUGCCCUUAAAUGAAAUAUUGAUUCAUAAAAAUAAUUAUGUAACCAUCAUUUUCUUGUUCUUUGAAUUUCAAAUUGAGGUUCUUUUCAUUCAUUCCAGAACAAACUGCAAUAGCUGUUAGAGUGAAUAAUUACUUAAGUGGUCUGACUGUACUUUGCUCAAGCUGAGCUGUGUGAUGUACACUACCUUUUUUGUCUAUUGGAACUAUAUAUUCUGAAAAAAAUCUUAUAAGUUCUCAUAUGCCUUACAUAUGCCUAAAAGUGAUUAUAUGGUGUAAAUGCACACACAUUCUUCCUAAUUGUUCAGCAAUUCAUAUGAUCAGUCUCAGACAAGACAAAACCAAAGGGUGGCUUCUAGUUGUCACCACAGUAAACCAGCCCUAUUUGAGCCAUUAUUUGAAACACAGUAAAAUAGCGCUCUCAGCACAAAUUGCUACACGACUGGACACAGACUUGGCUGUACUGUCAUCCCUAGCUGUGUGUUUGGUUUGUGGUUCAACCUUAGCAUCAUCUGGCAGCACUGUGCCUCACUGGCAAGGUUUUUGUGGCGGGUGGAUGGGGAGAUGCCACGGAUCCCCCAAAGAGCACAGUAAUUGCUCUAGAGUUAUUUUUAAAAUAAAAGAAUCCCAAGGUAACUUCACAGACUAUAUGUCAACGAGAUUGAAAUUAAUAAGAAUUGUUUACAACUGAGUUUUUUUUGUCUGGCCAUUUCACCAUCCAGCAAAUAGACCAUAAAAUUAUUUUUUACCUGAAAUAGUCACUUCAUACCACAUAGAAUAAAAAAAUCCUGACCUGCAAGUAGCGAACAAAGGAAAUCUGUACCUUUAAAAGAUAAUUCUGAAUUUAAUUAGCUCUGGAAAUUGUCAAGAGGAUUACUAGGUCAUUACUCCACUGCUAGGACAACCACCUAGAAGCCUGCAAAGUUAAGAACUUGUCUAUACUCUGUUUAAAGAGGCACCUAUACCAAAGCCUAAGCAACAUACAAAGUUAUCAAGGAUAGAAUCCAAAUGUCAGUCUUUUGUCAAUAUGGCUUUCUGUAUCAUGUCUUAAUGAGAACAAGAAGCAGUUCAACACCAUCUUUUUUGGUGAGAUGUAAGUAGAAAAUUUAUCUGUAAAAACACCUUAACUCCAGUUGUUGUCACUUAUUAGCAAUUUGCCUUGAAAAAGUUUGUGCAAAGUUACCCUGAAGUGCAUCUUCAAGUGUGAGACAGCCAAAACUACCAUCCACAGUAAAUGAGUGCAUAGCAGAUAAUUAUUUUACUUAAAGGGAAUUUAGAAAUAGAGUACCAAAAUAUUUCUUUAAGCACCAUCUGAAAAAAUGCACUAGAACUACUUCUUUCUUUGUCCAUCUAUGAUAUUUUGGCCUAAAAUAGUUGAAGUAAUGCAAACAAUUCAGAAAAUUCAUAUAACUCCAUGCCAUUACAAAGACAGCAAACUGUUGUAUUUGUUCAAGGCGAAGAUUGUUUUACUGAUUCGGAUUGAGUGCAUUUUGCUGUGUAAAUUCUGUUUGUGGUAGCUUUGGUGAAAAUACUACACAAGCAGUUGGCUUGAUCUUCAAGUGUUCUUCAAGUGUUAAUGAACCCUACUAACAAUAUUAUUACCAAAAAGAUGUUCUAACAUUAAAAACCAGAGGUUCUUAUGAACUAGUUAUUUCAUGCCUAACAGAACUUGCCAAGCCUGGUUUACUGUGGAACCGUACUGUAUAUCCAUAUAUUGCUCCACCAAAACAUCCCCAGCUUUGCUCCCAUCACAGCAUUUCACCAUCCUUCCAUGGUAGUACUUCUACUUGUUACUCAAAUGAUAUAAAUUCCUCUUAACCAUACUACAGUAUUCACAGUCCAGCUAUGAGGUGUGCAAACAGCAGCCUGUGCUGACUCUAUAUCUAACAAAGGACGGGACCUGAAUUUCCACUGAAACCUUUCCUUCUGUGGGGCAGUAUUUUGUUCCUUCCUUUACAGCCAUCUCUGUUUAUCCAUGAAGCUUAACUUUAUGGAGUAACAUAUUUCAGGAAAGCCAAAGACAGUAAAUACAGUAAGCUGUACUUGCUCA